rnacentral:tRNA from 1 species
CAGGUUAAUCUUUAGGGGGUUUUCAUUUACAUUGAAAUCAUUGUCGUGCAAUUCGAUAUAACUUGA